rnacentral:rRNA from 1 species
AGUCGAGGGGCAGCAUGGUCUUAGCUUGCUAAGACUGAUGGCGACCGGCGCACGGUUGAGUAACACGUAUCCAACCUGCCGUCUACUCUUGGACAGCCUUCUGAAAGGAAGAUUAAUACAAGAUGGCAUCAUGAGUCCGCAUGUUCACAUGAUUAAAGGUAUUCCGGUAGACGAUGGGGAUGCGUUCCAUUAGAUAGUAGGCGGGGUAACGGCCCACCUAGUCUUCGAUGGAUAGGGGUUCUGAGAGGAAGGUCCCCCACAUUGGAACUGAGACACGGUCCAAACUCCUACGGGAGGCAGCAGUGAGGAAUAUUGGUCAAUGGGCGAGAGCCUGAACCAGCCAAGUAGCGUGAAGGAUGACUGCCCUAUGGGUUGUAAACUUCUUUUAUAAAGGAAUAAAGUCGGGUAUGCAUACCCGUUUGCAUGUACUUUAUGAAUAAGGAUCGGCUAACUCCGUGCCAGCAGCCGCGGUAAUACGGAGGAUCCGAGCGUUAUCCGGAUUUAUUGGGUUUAAAGGGAGCGUAGAUGGAUGUUUAAGUCAGUUGUGAAAGUUUGCGGCUCAACCGUAAAAUUGCAGUUGAUACUGGAUAUCUUGAGUGCAGUCGAGGCAGGCGGAAUUCGUGGUGUAGCGGUGAAAUGCUUAGAUAUCACGAAGAACUCCGAUUGCGAAGGCAGCCUGCUAAGCUGCAACUGACAUUGAGGCUCGAAAGUGUGGGUAUCAAACAGGAUUAGAUA